rnacentral:rRNA from 1 species
GAUGAACGCUGGCGGCGUGCCUAAUACAUGCAAGUCGAGCGAACGGACGAGAAGCUUGCUUCUCUGAUGUUAGCGGCGGACGGGUGAGUAACACGUGGAUAACCUACCUAUAAGACUGGGAUAACUUCGGGAAACCGGAACUAAUACCGGAUGAUAUUUUGAACCGCAUGGUUCAAAAGUGAAAGACGGUCUUGCUGUCACUUAUAGAUGGAUCCGCGCUGCAUUAGCUAGUUGGUAAGGUAACGGCUUACCAAGGCAACGAUGCAUAGCCGACCUGAGAGGGUGAUCGGCCACACUGGAACUGAGACACGGUCCAGACUCCUACGGGAGGCAGCAGUAGGGAACCUUCCGCAAAGGGCGAAAGCCUGACGGAGCAACGCCGCGUGAGUGAUGAAGGUCUUCGGAUCGUAAAACUCUGUUAUUAGGGAAGAACAUAUGUGUAAGUAACUGUGCACAUCUUGACGGUACCUAAUCAGAAAGCCACGGCUAACUACGUG